AAGCAAGAAACUUACUGUACUAUGGUUUCGGCCCAUAACUAGAUGUACUUAUUACAUCCUUGCUUU
rnacentral:tRNA from 1 species